CGUCUCUCUCUCUCUCCUCGUCACUGUGCGUGUCGCCCGCGUGUCGUUGCCGCGCCGCCGUGCGCCUGCUCGCCGACGCGCCGCCCGCGUGCCUCGCCGCCGCGCCGUCGCGUGCUGCCGCACUGCCGUCCGCCUGCACGCCGUCGUGCGCCUGCGCGCCGCCUUGCGCGCCGUCGCCACCUGCUCUGUGCUGGCCGCCAUGAAGAAGCAAGCAGCAGCCAGCACCGAAGAAGCAAGCAAGCUGCCGGCAGAGCAAAGAAGCCAGGAAGAAAAAGGAGAAAAGAAAAGAAAAGAAAGAAAAAAAAGGGAAAAAAAGAAGGAAAAGGGAAAAGUUGGAAAUUUUGUAAUUUUGUCGGAUUCGUCGUCAACCCUUCGAAGGUGGUGUGACCUCACGUCACGACUAGCGGCCGGCUUCAUCGUCGGUAAAGGCAAGUGAAUGUAUUGUAUGACUACGCUUUGACCUAUUAUUGGGUUGCCUACAUUCUUUAAUUACAAUGCAUUCAUCUGAUCUGAAUAACUGAUUAUGAGCUGGUUACUAUGUUGUUUUCUUUUCCAGAAGUUUACUCGAUGAUUGAUUUAUGAAGUGCAGUAAGUACGAUAUGCCAUUCUGCAGUUGUUCAUUAUUGUGUUAUGCAAUGUUUUUUAAGUCUCAAGCAUUUUCCGGGAGUUAUGUUGGUUAUGCUUGAAGCACGUCAUACAUAUACAUCUCAUGCAUUGGAAGUUUGUCGUCGUCUUCUGGCCACGACCGUACCGGUACAGUACCAUAUGUCACCCGAGGAGGGGUACGGUGCACACCCUUACGUUACCCGAGGAGGGGUAAGGGUGAGGAGAGCAUGUCAUGUGCAUGGUUAUGUCUUCUUAUGAAAUUCAAUGAAUCAUUCGCAUCAAAUCUUAUUUCCUUUAGUUAGCUUGUAUAUAGAUAUAUAUACGGCUCUGAAGGCUUAUACCAACCGAAUGUUAAAAUGUUUAAUGUUAUCGUUGGACUUGCUUAGUCAUAAUUGUUUCUCCUAGUGUUGGCGGUCUGUUUCAUUACUAGCUUCUAUUUAGAAUUGUUAGCACAUUCAACUAUGGCUAAGUAGCUUUUUGUUAAAGUACCUUUCACUUGCUGAGAUUUUCGAAUCUCACCCGUGCUUUCUUUCCAGGUUCCUUUUGAGGUGUCAAACGCUUGCGGGAUGGAUAGCUACACGUCGCCUACGCGUUCCCCUUUUUUUGGGGCUAAAAUUGAUGCCCUGUCAGAUAUUGUCUUUUGCCCUGUAAUGUAUAUAUAGUGAGUUUGAUGGUGGUUCAGUGGUUUGUUCGAGGCUUGUACCUCGUUUGCUAGGAUCUUAUUUUUUGCUAGUGUGAUAUUCUAUAUCUGUUCUAUCUGGUUUGUUGUUGCC